AACGCCUGGCGGCGUGCUUUAAUACAUGCAAGUCGAACGAGAGAACUUCUAAGCUUGCUUAGGAGCUAUCUAGUGGCGAACGGGUGAGUAAUACGUAGGCAACCUGCCCCAUAGCGGGGGAUAGCAGUUGGAAACGACUAUUAAUACCGCAUAGGUAAUAGGAAGGCAUCUUCUUAUUAUUAAAGAUGCGUUUGCAUCACUGUGGGAUGGGCUUACGCUGUAUUAGCUUGUUGGUGAGGUAACGGCUCACCAAGGCGAUGAUACAUAGCCGGUCUGAGAGGAUGAACGGCCACAUUGGGACUGAGACACGGCCCAGACUCCUACGGGAGGCAGCAGUAAGGAAUUUUCGGCAAUGGGCGAAAGCCUGGCCGAGCAACGCCGCGUGAGUGAUGAAGGUCUUCGGAUUGUAAAGCUCUGUGGUAAAGGAAGAACACCAUGUCUAGGAAAUGAUUCAUGGCUGACGGUACUUUACUAGAAAGUCACGGCUUACUACGUGCCAGCAGCCGCGGUAAUACGUAGGUGGCAAGCGUUAUCCGGAUUUAUUGGGCGUAAAGGGUGCGCAGGCGGUUUGUUUGGCCCGGGGUGAAAGCGUUGAGCUCAACUCAAUAUAGCCUCGGAUACCGGCAGACUAGAGUGCAGCAAGAGGGUUAUGGAAUUCCAUGUGUAGCGGUAAAAUGCGUAGAUAUAUGGAGGAACAUCUGGUGGCGAAGGCGGUAACCUGGUCUGCAUCUGACGCUCAGGCACGAAAGCGUGGGGAGCAAAUAUGAUUAGAUACCCUAGUAGUCCACGCCCUAAACGAUGAUUACUAAAUGUUGGGGAA
rnacentral:rRNA from 1 species